rnacentral:rRNA from 1 species
UACAGAGGGUGCAAGCGUUUAAUCGGAUUUACUGGCGUAAAGCGCGCGUAGGCGGCUAAUUAAGUCAAUGUGAAAUCCCCGAGCUUAACUUGGGAAUUGCAUUCGAUACUGGUUAGCUAGAGUGUGGGAGAGGAUGGUAGAAUUCCAGGUGUAGCGGUGAAUGCGUAGAGAUGAUGGAGGAACACCGAUGGCGAAGGCAGCCUCCUGGGCCAGUACUGACGCUCAUGCACGAAGCGUGGGGAGCAAACAGG